rnacentral:rRNA from 1 species
AUUGAACGCUGGCGGCAGGCCUAACACAUGCAAGUCGAGCGGUAGCACAGAAGAGCUUGCUCUUUGGGUGACGAGCGGCGGACGGGUGAGUAAUGUCUGGGAAACUGCCUGAUGGAGGGGGAUAACUACUGGAAACGGUAGCUAAUACCGCAUAACGUCGCAAGACCAAAGUGGGGGACCUUCGGGCCUCAUGCCAUCAGAUGUGCCCAGAUGGGACUAGCUAGUAGGUGAGGUAAUGGCUCACCUAGGCGACGAUCCCUAGCUGGUCUGAGAGGAUGACCAGCCACACUGGAACUGAGACACGGUCCAGACUCCUACGGGAGGCAGCAGUGGGGAAUAUUGCACAAUGGGCGCAAGCCUGAUGCAGCCAUGCCGCGUGUAUGAAGAAGGCCUUCGGGUUGUAAAGUACUUUCAGCGAGGAGGAAGGCAUUAAGGUUAAUAACCUUAGUGAUUGACGUUACUCGCAGAA